GACGUAGGGGGCAAGCGUUGUCCGGAUUUAUUGGGCGUAAAGAGCGUGUAGGCGGCCAGACAAGUCUGCUGUGAAAACUCGAGGCUCAACCUCGAGCUGUCGGUGGAAACUGUCUGGCUAGAGUCCGGAAGAGGAGAGUGGAAUUCCUGGUGUAGCGGUGAAAUGCGCAGAUAUCAGGAAGAACACCUAUGGCGAAGGCAGCUCUCUGGGACGGUACUGACGCUGAGACGCGAAAGCGUGGGGAGCGAACAGGAUAGAU
rnacentral:rRNA from 1 species